rnacentral:sRNA from 1 species
UUGGACGGAUAUUGAAGAGACGGAUGGAUGGAUUAGUACAUUUGUAUAAAUGGGAAUUUCUAGACGCGACCGACGACCGACGAAUGCGAUACGCGCUCGGUUCGAAGCUAACGACAACUGCCUGCCGCGGACAAAACUUGCUACAGACAGAGCAGGGAGAGCCGCCAGCGAAAGCUUACGCUAAAGCUUUGAUAAGCUUUGAUACCGUGUAGAAUGUACGGAAUGGAUAGGGCAUCACGAAUUUAUAAUCAUGUUUGUCACGCACACAAACACGAAUGCAUAGAGCUAUGCAUUAGAAAAGUUCUUUGAAAUUACUUUUAAUGAAUCUGUUGGAUAUAUGAAUACUCGUACUUUUGUGAACCGCUGGCAAAGCUGGGUAUGACGAAUAUAUGAAUAUUGGAACAAUCAUUUGAAAACGCCGUUCAUUGCACAUUGGAUACGCGGUAGAGACUAAAACUUUUGAAAUAAACGGGAAAGAAAGGCUAUUUUUGAGCAAACUAAAACGGAGCUGGGGGCUGGGGUCUGCACUGCACCGCACCGCAUGGAUCGUAUGGGAUCGGUUGAUGGGUAUAUAUUUAUAGCAUAAACGGAACGCCUGCAGGGAACGAUUGCAUUGCAAAUUCUUGAUAUGUUCAACGUGGGACAGCAGCAGGGCGAUAGCAAGGCAAUGAACUCAUACUAUAUACAUACGUACAUACAUAAAUAUAUGGACAUAUGUAUGUUCUGCAUUGGAAAUACUGUAUUGUGCGCGUGCACGCACUUUUGUGUGCCACUGUCCGUGGUGGGGGGAGGGAGUAGUGCUGCGUGAAAAGAGAGGAGUGCGUGCUCGGUGCAUGAUUUUGUGUGUGUUCAUGUGUGUGUGGAAGAAAUAUCUGCGAAGAAAACUACAUACGGGAUAUACGCAUAGAGAUCAAAGAUCAUAGAGAUCUCAUCAGCUCAAUAUUAAAACGUGCAUGUUGGUUAAUAUAGAUUUUAUUUUUAAUAAUUACUACCAUUAGUAGUCACUGAUUACUGGGCGUUUUACAAUAUGUUAAUAUCAAAUUAGUAAAAGGAACUUAACGAAUGCAAUUCAAUUCUAAAAAUUUUCAUACAUACGAGUACAUACAAUCUACGGGUUAUUGUUGGUGCCUUUUUAUUAGGAACUACAAUUACUAUAUUUAAGUGGUAUAUAAACUCAAAAAAUAAGGCUUUUGGAUGCAUUUUUAGCAGAACAACAACACAUA